rnacentral:tRNA from 1 species
UGCGGGACCGCGCGGUGCGGGCCCGGGCCUCAUGAGCCUGGGUGCCGGGUUCAACUCCCGGUCCCGCCACCA